UGCCUAGUAAAAAGCUCCGAAUAAUCAGCCAGGCGUGAAUUGGCCAGGGUCCACAGCUUAAACAAAUCAAAUACCAGCGCGUCAGAGACAGCAGGUUUCUGCCGUAGGGAAUAUUCCUACAUCCCUUCAGGCGAUCUGGCAGUAUGUCGUCUUCGAAUACUUUUUCAGCUUUUCAGGCAUUCUUUCCAUUUGGUCAUGGAAGUCAAUGCUCAUGUGAAAACCCUCGCCCGCAACAAGUAUCAUUGCUACAACCAUUCUCUGUGGUUUGGGAAGCAAGCGGAUGUGGUGAUGCUCAAAGUCAUCUACACUAUUAGGGCCCCAUUGGAUGCAUCGAGAGACGGAAAUUAGGGCAAUGAAUGCCGAAUGUGUCAGCUUCACCUGAGGCUACAAAUCUCACAGUGUGGCAUGGAGGAAGCGGGCAUGCUGUAUUAUCACAGCCGGAUUGAAUUCUUAUAUGAA
rnacentral:sRNA from 1 species